rnacentral:lncRNA from 1 species
CAGACCCACCCAGCACACAUGUACCACGGACAAGCCCAAGUACACAUGGGGAACCAACUUUCUAGGUCCACACCCUGUCAUGACAGGGCAGAGCUUUUAUUUCACUUCACUUCUUCUUUCUUUGAAACAGGGUCUCAGGAACUCACAGCAACCCUCCAGCCUCAGCCUUUUGAAUGUUAGGAUUAUAAAGUCUCUUCACAGCCAUUCCAUUUCCAGUCCUGAUCUACACCCUCAAGUGCAGCAGAAAGGAAUAGGUGCAGAAAGGAAAGCUGACUGUGGGCACUCACUGUGAGCAGCCGUGAGCUCCAACCGCCUCUUCUCUAAUGCCGACUUCAGCAUUGUGCUUAUGCAUCACUUAAAGGGGGCCCAUUCUGAGAAAUGUGUUAUUAGGUGAUUCCACUGUACGAACAUCAGAGUGCAUUUGGAAUAAAACUAAAUGCUGUGGGCCACUCAGGGCUCUUGAUGCAAUUAAGGGAUGGCAAACAUGAGACACGCCAGGAUGCUGGCAUGUAACCCAGAAGGGUGUUUCAGGGCAAACUGUUCUAGUAUGCAGAAGGAACUCACUGGGAAAUUAUGAUAAAAAUAUACCCAAUAAACUAAUAAUGGCUAUGUCUAUUACCAUCUUAUAAUUAUUAAAAGUUUUAUU